AUUAAACGCUGGCGGCAUGCCUUACACAUGCAAGUCGAACGGCAGCACGGGGGCAACUCUGGUGGCGAGUGGCGAACGGGUGAGUAAAGCAUCGGAACGUGCCCUGGAGUGGGGGAUAACGUAGCGAAAGUUACGCUAAUACCGCAUAUUCUGUGAGCAGGAAAGCAGGGGAUCGCAAGACCUUGCGCUCUGGGAGCGGCCGAUGUCGGAUUAGCUAGUUGGUGGGGUAAAGGCCUACCAAGGCGACGAUCCGUAGCGGGUCUGAGAGGAUGAUCCGCCACACUGGGACUGAGACACGGCCCAGACUCCUACGGGAGGCAGCAGUGGGGAAUUUUGGACAAUGGGCGAAAGCCUGAUCCAGCCAUGCCGCGUGAGUGAAGAAGGCCUCGGUUGUAAG
rnacentral:rRNA from 1 species